CACAAGCCCACCUAAAACUUGGGUAGGGGUAGGUGCAUUUUGCACUCGUUACACUUUAUCUUUCGUGGUAUGCAAACCAAUUUUCAUUUCUCGUACACAAUGCAAAAUGAGCUUGUGUGCAUUGCUGAUGACUUAUUUGAUCUAGCCGUCUACAUCAGCAUCUUGUGAUCCAGAAGAACUACAACUAUUUAUCAGCUAUUAUCAACGCUGGCAGGAAGCUCGCCAUGUCUACAACCAUCCCUGCUGUUGUUACUUUUGGUGGAAUGGAUAAGAAUCCCGAAGACUUACCAAGCUCUCCUCCAACACCCUUCACCAAUAUCGUCACUGUAAGCCUCCCAGAAUACUACAGUUACUAUGAAUACCCAGAGGGUGACUUCGGGAGGUGUGUGUAUGAGCGUUAUGGGGCCAAUUUUAUUCCCACACUCUAUGCCAUUUUCUCCCUCCUGGGCCUUCUGGGUAACUCUUUGGUCCUCUGGGUCAUUACUUGUGGCGUGCGACUCCGCAGCAUGACCGACGUGUGCCUCCUAAACUUGGCUAUUGCUGACCUUCUCUUGGUGUGUUCCCUUCCCUUCCUAGCCCACCAAGCCUGGGACCAGUGGCUGUUUGGGGAUGCUAUGUGCAAAGCGGUCCUUGGUAUUUAUAAUAUUGUUUUUUACUGUGGGAUCUUUUUCAUCACUCUAAUGAGCAUAGACCGGUAUUUGGCUAUAGUACAUGCCAUUUACGCCAUGAGAGUACGGACAAGGUCCUUUGGAAUAAUCGCAGCGGCUGUUACAUGGUUGGCUGGAUUUUUGUCUUCUUUCCCUGAAAUUAUAUUCCUCAAAGAGCAGCCUCGUGUGAAUGUUAAUGGGACUCAGUUUUUCUGCUACCCUGUAUAUCCCACAGCAACUUCGAAUGGCAACACCACUUCAUCCAACUCUCACAUCUGGAGCAUCUUCAGCCAUUUUAAAAUGAACAUUUUGGGUUUAUUUGUCCCGGUUGUCAUCAUGGGUUUCUGCUACUCACAGAUUGUCCGGAGGCUGCUGCACAGCCAGUCAUCCAAGAAACAAGCGAUCCGUUUAGUUCUUAUAGUAGUAGUUGUUUUCUUCUGCUGCUGGAUCCCCUACAACGUUGCAUCCUUCUUCAAAGCACUGGAGCUAUUGCACAUCUAUACAGAAUGUGAAAGCAGCAAAGCCAUCAGAUUGGCUUUACAAGUCACUGAGGCCAUUGCCUACUCUCACAGCUGCCUCAACCCCAUCCUGUAUGUGUUUGUUGGAGAGAAGUUCAGGAGGCACCUGCUAAGAUUGAUAAACAAGUCUCCCUGCAGGCUGUGCCAGAUGAUCAAAGUCUGCCUACCCCAGGACAGAAUCAAUGGGUCAGUCUACUCACAGACCACCAGCUUGGACGAGAGGAGCACUACUGUGUAAAGUGUGUUCCACAGACUGUAUAAAGGUGGGUUGUUGGGUGUGUUUCUAUAUUUCUGUCUGUGUGGUCAUCUGCACAAUGAGGGCGUUUCUUGUGGUAAUUCUCACUUCUUAUGGGCUAUUUUAGGACUUUAGUUUAAUAUGACAAAAUACAGUGUGACAAUGUGUCAGCUUGAGAGACACGUGAUUUUGUAAUAGAGUAACAUGCAAACACAGUUUACCUGAGUGUAAAGGUACAUGUCUUUAUGCUUGUAUAAGUGCUAUUGACCAAAUAAGUAAGGUUCCGGAUAUGCAAGAUCUUUAACAGAGUUGAUGAAGCAAAUUGCAUCUGCAAUUUUAAAGUAGGUGAGGAACUUUCCUGAAAUAAAUUUGGUCUUCUUUGUUUUAGAAAGAGACAAACUCAUGCCGACCAGUUCCAGGCAAACACCAUUAAGAAAAGUGCAACAAAUAGGUACAUAUAGCUAAUAGCUAAAGAAAAUAGCAAAACAUUUGCACAGCAAAAGGUGCCCAGUGCAGCUGGAAACCAAAGUAUUGCAAGUUUCAAAGCAUCUGUAACAGCAAAUUUGCACCUCACCUCAACCUAGAGAAAACCACAACAUGAAACAAAGAGGAAGUAUAUGUUGUCAGUUUAAUCUUUGCAGUCUCUUUGCAAAAAUUAGCAUAGUGCUCAAAUGUCAAAUUUUGGAAAUAUCUCUGCAAAAUUUCUAGUUAAUUUUAAUCAGCAUGUCACAAAAACAGGCAAUUUUCAAAUCAUUAUACUCUAAAUUCUAUCAUGCAGACUGACUAGCCAAGUGGAUAAUAUGCAUGCCAUAUCCUAAUUGCACCAUCCUCGGUUUGAUUCAAGUUGGGCACCUUUGUUAAACAUCACCCCACCUCAAGGCACUUCCUUAAUGUAACCCACAUAAUGGCAAAAUGCAAAAACAUAUUCGGCGCCUGGAUAGUCCGGUUGCGGGCGCCCUUAUAUAGAGGGCAUUUAUGACUCCUCAACGCAGCGAGCCCAGGUUUGACUCCGGCCUGCGGCCCUUUGCUGUAGGUCAUUCCCCCUUUCUCUCCCCUUUCAUGUCUGCUAUGUCCUAUUAAAAUAAAGGCUUAAAAUGCCCCAGAAAAAAAUCUAAAAAAUAAAUAAAUAAAUAAACAUGUAUAUAUUUCUUGAAAUAAAAACUCCAAGACAGCCAAGACAUGCAACUGUUUUCACACCCUAAGGUCUAACCUUCAGUAAUAAACUGACUUUGACGUAUGAAAUUGGUGAAGUGCCCCUUUAAAAGUACACAUUCUCAUAAAUGACAGUCGUAUUCUGGUCAAGAAUCCACCUGAAAUUAUGGAGUGGUCCCUAAAUGCUAGUGCUGUCAGUAAAGCAAAUCAUAUUUCCCAGGUGGGGCAGUUUCAACAUUUUCUCCGGCUGAAUAUAGAAAUGCAAAAAUUAAUCAAUUAGUUAAUUAAUCAACAAUGAAAAUAAUUGCAGCCAUUGCUGAAUUACAUCAUGCAAUAUUUCCAGUAUUUUGCACUUUUAUUUAUUUAUUCAGGGGGAGUAUACUGAGAGCAAUGCUCCACUGAUCAUAUUUACACAGUUACACAUUCACACCAGGCAGCCACCCAGUACAACAACAGUCUGAUCAGCUGAAGCAGUUGGGGUUAAGGGACUUGCUCAAGGGCACGUCAGUGGUGGUAAUGAGUGCUGACUUCCACUCUCCCCUCCCAGAUCUUAUCCUACCAUUUAUAGUAUUAUCAAGGGUUUCAUGGUGUCUUAACUAGGGCUGUAACGAUAUUCACUAUCAAAGUGAAUUUGCAACCCUCAGAUCUGCAAACCUGUGUC